GGAGGGUGCUAGCGUUGUUCGGAAUUAUUGGGCGUAAAGAGCGUGUAGGCGGUUUGGUAAGUCAGAUGUGAAAGCCCUGGGGCUCAACCCAGGAAGUGCAUUUGAUACUGCUUUACUUGAGUAUGGGAGAGGAGAGUGGAAUUCCCAGUGUAGAGGUGAAAUUCGUAGAUAUUGGGAAGAACACCCGUGGCGAAGGCGACUCUCUGGACCAAUACUGACGCUGAGACGCGAAAGCGUGGGGAGCAAACAGGAUUAGAUACCCUGGUAGUCCACGCCGUAAACGAUGAGAACUAGGUGUAGCGGGUAUUGACCCCUGCUGUGCCGGAGCUAACGCAUUAGGUUCGUCCGCCUGGGGAGUACGGCCGCAAAGGCUA
rnacentral:rRNA from 1 species